rnacentral:rRNA from 1 species
GACGAACGCUGGCGGCGUGCUUAACACAUGCAAGUCGAACGGAAAGGCCCUGCUUUUGUGGGGUGCUCGAGUGGCGAACGGGUGAGUAACACGUGAGUAACCUGCCCUUGACUUUGGGAUAACUUCAGGAAACUUGGGCUAAUACCGGAUAGGAGCUCCUGCUGCAUGGUGGGGGUUGGAAAGUUUCGGCGGUUGGGGAUGGACUCGCGGUUUAUCAGCUUGUUGGUGGGGUAGGGGCUUACCAAGGCUUUGACGGGUAGCCGGCCUGGGAGGGUGACCGGCCACAUUGGGACUGAGAUACGGCCCAGACUCCUACGGGAGGCAGCAGUGGGGAAUAUUGCACAAUGGGCGGAAGCCUGAUGCAGCAACGCCGCGUGCGGGAUGACGGCCUUCGGGUUGUAAACCGCUUUCGCCUGUGACGAAGCGUGAGUGACGGUAAUGGGUAAAGAAGCACCGGCUAACUACGU